GCGAGGGUGCUGGAGUGGUCAAACAGGAUGGACUCAAAAUCCAUUAGCUUAGUGCUUACGCAGGUUCGAAUCCUGUCCCUCGCA
rnacentral:tRNA from 1 species